rnacentral:rRNA from 1 species
AGCGAACGCUGGCGGCAGGCUUAACACAUGCAAGUCGAACGGGCGUAGCAAUACGUCAGUGGCAGACGGGUGAGUAACGCGUGGGAACGUACCUUUUGGUUCGGAACAACACAGGGAAACUUGUGCUAAUACCGGAUAAGCCCUUACGGGGAAAGAUUUAUCGCCGAAAGAUCGGCCCGCGUCUGAUUAGCUAGUUGGUGAGGUAAUGGCUCACCAAGGCGACGAUCAGUAGCUGGUCUGAGAGGAUGAUCAGCCACAUUGGGACUGAGACACGGCCCAAACUCCUACGGGAGGCAGCAGUGGGGAAUAUUGGACAAUGGGCGAAAGCCUGAUCCAGCCAUGCCGCGUGAGUGAUGAAGGCCCUAGGGUUGUAAAGCUCUUUUGUGCGGGAAGAUAAUGACGGUACCGCAAGAAUAAGCCCCGGCUAACUUCGUGCCAGCCGCCGCGGUAACAC